rnacentral:lncRNA from 1 species
CUCAAUAGCAUGUUCUGCGCCUCCGCAGACUUGAAAGAGAAAAACAAUUGUUGAUUGUUGAAGGAUUGUUGUACCUGCAUGUUAUCUUAAUUUUUAGUGUGCCAAUUUUGGGUAAGACAUUUCUGCCCAAAAAAUAUAUUCUUGAGUAUAUGUUUUGGUUUUCUUUUACCUGAACCUGGCAUACCAACAAUUGAGAUAACAUCUAGGUUUGACCAUCUUUCAUCUUCCUGCGCACUUGGAUUGCCAGUCAGUUCUUACACAAAAGUUAUUGUUGUACGUUGAUGCUAUCUCAGUGUUGGCAUGCAUAAAUUGGGUAAGACAUAUUUGAUGAAAAAGUAUUUUCUAAGAUGAGGUGUUUUAAUUUAUGUGAACAUAUUUAACUGAACACGAAGUUUAAGAAAAAGAGAUAAACUUUUGAACUUGUUAGAUAAAAUGAGUCACAUAUAUCUUAUGUGACUACAAAUUAUUACAUAAGAUUAAAUUGUUUUCAAAUAAGAAAAUAUAUUAUUUUUUUUGUACGGAUUAAAAAUAAAAUAGAUUUACAUAAAUUAAAAUUGACGAAGUAGUUAUUUUAGUGAUACAUUAAUUAGUUGAAGUUAAGAGCACUGUGGCAGCAUCUCUCUUGGAUGUAACAUUGGUAUUUUUGAGUAUAGGGUGGGAUAUCAUUUUCAGAAUCAAGAGUUUUUGUGAGGAGAGGGGUAGGGGUAGGAAUGCUGCAGGUUGAGUUCAUACUGAUGCCUUAUGGUUAGGGGUUUCUACUAAGUUUAAUUUGAGAUAUGAAGGUAAUGCAAAUAUAUUUGCUUGGCUGGGGCUUUUGGUACUCUCUGUAUUUUGGUGGGUUUUUUACUAUGAGGUAUGGUGACUGAAUAAUAGGAUUACGACAGAAAUUCAGGAGGCCAGGUUUGGGUGGUAUAAAUAUAGAGGUGGUGUAAAAAUUUUUGAAUGGGAUUUAAAGUUAAAUUUGCUAACAAGUGACAAUCUAAUUUUUUUUAACAAUUAAUUUGGUAGUAUGUGAAUGUCAGUUAAUUACUUAGAUUAGUCGUACUUGUUCGAUAUGCGGUUAAUAUUAAAAAAUAUAAAUUAAAUUAAAUUGUGAUCCGGCUUGUUUGAACAAAUUAGAGGAAAAAAUUUACACCAAAUCUAGUUAAAUUAACCAUAGGAAAUAAACACAAUAUCUACUAGAGUUUAUAAAAAAAAUAAGAAAAGGUAAUAAAGAGUGCUAAUAAUUGAUGUUAAACUUUUUAGGGUUGUCGUCCUUAUUUUAUUUCUCGCCGCAAUUUCUUGUUGCAUCUUGCGAGUUUCUUGUUCUUUUAUUUCUAACAUAAUUGCUAAAUGUUGAGUGUUUCAGAGCCUUUAGCAUGUGACAGAGAUGAAAGAUGUAUUAUGCUUGCCAAACCAUAAGUAUGAUCUAACUUCCAAGAAGCGGAAUUAUGCUUUUGGGUAAAACACUAGUCUAGUCGAGGUAAAUGUUGCAGAAGCAUUGUACUUCAACUUGGUUGUGAUCAACAUACUCUAGACGAGGUGUUAUAUGAUGAAACCUUUCUUCUUAGUUGUAUAUAAGACUUUGCAUUACUCUCAGCUGGAGAAAUUGGCAUGGCGAGACAAGAAGCAGUGAAAGAAAGUACCUCGGUGCUUUGUAGAAAAAUGCAACAAAUUAUUUAAUAUACUUACAAAUGCAUAACAUCCUUGGUUGGUUAGUUCCUUUUAAUGCUGUUAUUGGCCAAGAUGUGUAUGCUCAAAUUUUUUUGUUGUUCGGUUUCUUUGAAAAUAUUUAAGAUUAAUUAUUAUAUUCUUAUUAUUAUUUAAGAUUAUAUAAAAAUUAGAUAGAGUUACUUUGGUUAAAUACUUACAACUAGUUUAUAAUUAAAUAAGGUGAUAAGUGUCAUUUAACUAUUGGCUUGGUAUAUACAUCGG